CAGGACGAACGCUGGCGGCGUGCCUAACACAUGCAAGUCGAACGGAGAUAUGAUUCGUUGUAUCUUAGUGGCGAACGGGUGAGUAACGCGUGAACAACCUGACUCUAAGAGGGGGAUAACACUCGGAAACGGGUGCUAAUACCGCAUAAGACCACGACCUGGCAUCAGGAUGAGGUCAAAGGAGCAAUCCGCUGAGAGAGGGGUUCGCGUCCCAUUAGAUAGAUGCGGGUAACGGCCCACCAUGUCAACGAUGGGUAGCCGAGCUGAGAGGCUGAUCGGCCGCACUGGAACUGAGACACGGUCCAGACUCCUACGGGAGGCAGCAGUGGGGAAUAUUGAGCAAUGGGCGCAAGCCUGACCCAGCAACGCCGCGUGAGGGAAGAAGGCUUUCGGGUUGUAAACCUCUGUCCUUGGUGACGAAACAAAUGACGGUAGCCAAGGAGGAAGCCCCGGCUAACUACGUG
rnacentral:rRNA from 1 species